GUGUGGGGACCAGGUACCAUCUGUAAAGGAUUUUGCGAGUCAGCUCCAAGUGAGUCGUGCAGAGGGUGAGUUGUUUGUGUGCUUUGAAGAUGUUGUUCCAUUGUUCUUUGGUGAUCUGAUAUCCAAUAUCUUUUUCCCAGGCUGUUACGUAAGAUGGGGAAUGUUGUUUGGGUUGAGGUCCUUCAGAUGUGUAUAUUGUGGAGAUUAGCUUUUUGGUCCGUUUGGUUGCCGUACAUAUUUGUUCUAUGGUUUGCCAGCUUGUAGUUGUUCUCUCGGUGGGUUUUUGUUUGAAUUGUAGGGUGUGUCAGGAUAAUAGUUGUCUGUAUGAGAAUAGUGCUGUAUUCGGUAGUUGGUAUUCUGUUUGGAGUUCCGAGAAAGGUUUCAUGUGGGAGUCCCUUGUUAGUUGUGACAGGGUUUUUAUGCCAUGUCUGUGCCAGAUUUUGUAGUUGAAGUCUGGUAUAAGAGCUUUCAUUGACUCUACUGGGAGGGCGGGGGAGUACAGGGCCGUGGUGCCCAUGCUUUUCUGGUAAUUGUCCCAUAUUGAGAUAGUGAGCCUGGUCGUGGGUAGCAUUCCGG